CGUUAGCUCAGUUGGUAGAGCAACUGACUUUUAAUCAGUGGGUCGCAGGUUCGAAUCCUGCACGGCUCACCA
rnacentral:tRNA from 1 species